AUUGGGCGUAAGAGCUCGUAGGCGGUUUGUCGCGUCUGCCGUGAAAGUCCGGGGCUCAACUCCGGAUCUGCGGUGGGUACGGGCAGACUAGAGUGAUGUAGGGGAGACUGGAAUUCCUGGUGUAGCGGUGAAAUGCGCAGAUAUCAGGAGGAACACCGAUGGCGAAGGCAGGUCUCUGGGCAUUAACUGACGCUGAGGAGCGAAAGCAUGGGGAGCGAACAGGAUUAGAUACCCUGGUAGUCCAUGCCGUAAACGUUGGGCACUAGGUGUGGGGGACAUUCCACGUUUUCCGCGCCGUAGCUAACGCAUUAAGUGCCCCGCCUGGGGAGUACGGCCGCAAGGCUAAAACUCAAAGGAAUUGACGGGGGCCCGCACAAGCGGCGGAGCAUGCGGAUUAAUUCGAUGCAACGCGAAGAACCUUACCAAGGCUUGACAUGAACCGGAAAGACCUGGAAACAGGUCCCCCGCUUGCGGUCGGUUUACAGGUGGUGCAUGGUUGUCGUCAGCUCGUGUCGUGAGAUGUUGGGUUAAGUCCCGCAACGAGCGCAACCCUCGUUCUAUGUUGCCAGCGCGUGAUGGCGGGGACUCAUAGGAGACUGCCGGGGUCAACUCGGAGGAAGGUGGGGACGACGUCAAAUCAUCAUGCCCCUUAUGUCUUGGGCUUCACGCAUGCUACAAUGGCCGGUACAAAGGGUUGCGAUACUGUGAGGUGGAGCUAAUCCCAAAAAGCCGGUCUCAGUUCGGAUUGGGGUCUGCAACUCGACCCCAUGAAGUCGGAGUCGCUAGUAAUCGCAGAUCAGCAACGCUGCGGUGAAUACGUUCCCGGGCCUUGUACACACCGCCCGUCAAGUCACGAAAGUUGGUAACACCCGAAGCCGGUGGCCUAACCCCUUGUGGGAGGGAGCU
rnacentral:rRNA from 1 species